rnacentral:rRNA from 1 species
GACGAACGCUGGCGGCGUGCCUAAUACAUGCAAGUGGGACGCAAGAGAACACACUGUGCUUGCACACCGUGUUUUCUUGAGUCGCGAACGGUGAGUAACGCGUAGGUAACCUUCCUAUUAGCGGGGGAUAACUAUUGGAAACGAUAGCUAAUACCGCAUAAUAUUAAUUAUUGCAUGAUAAUUGAUUGAAAGAUGCAAGCGCAUCACUAGUAGAUGGACCUGCGUUGUAUUAGCUAGUUGGUAAGGUAAGAGCUUACCAAGGCGACGAUACAUAGCCGACCUGAGAGGGUGAUCGGCCACACUGGGACUGAGACACGGCCCAGACUCCUACGGGAGGCAGCAGUAGGGAAUCUUCGGCAAUGGACGAAAGUCUGACCGAGCAACGCCGCGUGAGUGAAGAAGGUUUUCGGAUCGUAAAGCUCUGUUGUAAGUCAAGAACGUGUGUGAGAGUGGAAAGUUCACACA